rnacentral:lncRNA from 1 species
AAAGUUUCCAUUCAACUACCCACAGGUCAAGACCACCAUCCCCAGAUUGCAAAGAUGCUCUGAAACUGCAGUGCCUGGACUGAAGUGAGGAGUUUGGCCUGGAGCUCAGCAGGGGCCUGAGAGGUUCCAGGACCUUCCCAUCCAGAGAUCACCUCGUGGGGGCUAAACGCUCCUACCCACCUUCUCGCCAAGCACAGGACGCCUCUGCAGCGCCACCUACAGGCAGAAUGCGCAUGGCGCAGCGACUCUGUCAGCCUCGGCGGCCGGAACUGGUGUCACAUAGAGAACAGGAGAGAUCUGCUCCUCUGCCCCCAACCCUCCAACUUCCUUGGAUGACACAUGGUCUUCCUUAGCCGCCCCUGCCCUAAAGUGUCCCUGUUAGACUGGCUCCAAAUUCAAGCCCUGCCUGACUCAGGCAGCCGGUGAUCUAACGUUUCCACUCCUGCUGCUGCACUCUAAGCGGCCUCCUGCCCCAGGGCGCCUCUUCCUGGGAAGCAGUCAAGUCACGCUGGGCCCCGGAUCUGCUGACGAGAAUCCUCCGCCCUGCCGGCACACCCCUUGAAAUUUGUCUCAAUUCCUUCUUUCUUCCUCCCGCCCCUCCAUCUCCUUCAUUUCAUCCCUGUCUCUGAGGCUAGCAGGAGCGGCUGGGCUCCAGGGAAAAGCAGCUGGGAAAAAAAGAGUCCACGUGGAGACCUCCUGCACACUGUGUCAGCCCCACCGAGUAACACUGUUACUUAGGUGCACAAGAAUUCCAAGCUGGAAGUAGCAAUAUGUUUGCACUUUGGGCAACACUGCCACCGCCUGAGGGAAGGGGCCAUUGAGAGGAUUGCUGGAGAGCCAUCUUCCUUCUUUCGGAUCUUAUGAUUGUCUAGGAAAUUCUGAAACCCGGGGUCUUAUCUUUGGAACUCCCUGUACUACUGAACGUGGUUUGCUGGGGCUAGGGGUGGCUCAAUAAGGCUUGUGCCACCAAGGGAACCAGUUUGGAGUGUUCUAAGCUUUGAACUGUCCUGGAACCAUUAAUCAAGUAAAGAUGAUUACCUGAUGUGUCAUCAUAGCUGUUCCUUCUGGAACUUGGUACUGGAGAGGUUCAGGUUGAGGUGGAGGGGACUUUGAGGUGGUUUUUACCACAUCCUUUUGUACCACUAUAUGAGAAUAGUGGAAGGAUAAGAUAAUUGACUUGUCUUACUGGGUGAAAGCCAGAAUCCCACAUAUGUUGCCUGGAAUAUUCUUUCAGCAUGAUAGCUGAAGGCCUCAGGCUCAGGUAGGGUGUAAGGGAUAGCUUUAAGCUGGACCUCUGAUGUUUGAAACACAAAACCUGAACCUG